UUUUCCCUUUCCCAAGCGCGCGCUGCUGCGAGAGCCGGAGAUCCAAUCGCUGCCUGGGAGGAGUUCCUCGCGUCGCACGCCGGCUUCUGUUCGCCGCAGGCACUGCACGAGCUCCUAGCACGGACGCAGAGAUGCUGCCUGCUGCAACGCGUCCCGUGGGCUGCCGAGCAAGGCGCGAGAGAGACGACCCCGUGAGACUGACAGGCAGGCAGAGACGGAUGGUGCUCCUUUCCGACGCAUUCGGAUCGCCCGCACAAACGUCCUUGCAAAGUACAGACGAUUAAGCGAACGCGACUCCCUUCGAAGUGCCUUUCGUGUCGUGCUUUUCUUUCGGGGCCCAGUUUUUCUUUUUUUCUUUUUGAGCAUAACAUGCUACCUUUUCCAGAAAAGCGUUUUCAAUAUUAUUUUGAUGCAUUUUAAAUAAUGCAUUGACCAAUGCAGAGAUGAUGUAAUCCCAGCCAGGAUCGCCACGAAAUGGGCCGGUCUACGACCUUUUGUGAGAGGGAGCGGGGACUUCGUGCGACUAGGAGGAGGGAGCAGGAACAACAUAACAGAGAGCGGCGUGGGGGGGGGGUGAGAGAGGGAGGGAGAAAGCCCCCGCACACUAAUAUUGCUGUCGUACCAAGAAAUAUUGUGUAGAGAUCUAGACACAGAACGUUGCAAUCAUAACUGGCAGAGAGGUACCUGGUGGAAGUCUCUCCUUGUUACUCAUCUGGGUGGAAACUAGGGAUGUGCAAAUUGAUUUGUGUACAAACCAAUUACUACCCGAAUCUAGCUGAUUCGGGUAAUUUGGAGACAAAACAAAUCACCCCUGUGGCCUGUAGGCUAGAUCUGUGGACAAAUCAAAUCGUGCCUGAUUCGAAUCAAGAUUCAGAUCCCUCCUAUUAAUUCCCCCAGAUUCCCUGCGUUCAUUUUUUUGAAAAGUUAAGCUCUAGUCCUUGUAGAAGUGGUUAUGGAGCAAAAUGUGUGGUCACUAUUUUUCAAGUGUUUGGAUUCUUUGGUGUAUAAUCACUUUCCCUAAAUGAAUCCCUAUGAGGAUUGAUUACACACUUUCAUUUCUUCUAUUUAUUUUGACUGUCUUUUGGACAGUGCCAACUGCCAUGUGCAAACCAAACCCCCCUCCCACCCACAAGGUAGUGUGUUACUACUCAGUUUAUGUUCUAAUAUUUCUUUUCAAGUGUUUAGGCUCUUUGGCAUCUAAUAUUUCCUCAUAAUGAAUCCCUAUGAGGAUUCAUUACACACCAAAGAGUCUAAACUGAGUACUUUGUGGGUUGGGGGGUCGUUGGAACAUGGAAUGCCACUAAUUCCCCACCCCCAGCUUCAAAGCAGUGGGGUCAAAAUGAAGGUGUGGAAUGAAAACAUCAAAGAAUCUAAGCACUUCAAAAAUACCUAAAAAAUAAACCUUUGUGUGUGUGUGGAGGGGGUGUAGUUGACACAUGGCAGUUGACAGUUGGCACUGUCCAAUGAUAGUCAAAAUGAAAAGAAACCAAGGCAUAUAAUGAAUCCUCAAAGGGAUUCAUUAUGAGGAAAAGUUAUACACCAAAGAAUUCAGACACUUGAAAAAUAAUGACCGCACAUUUUGCUCCAUAACUCCACUUCUACAAGGGCCAGAGCUUAGUUGCUGUUGUUUUUUUAAAUGAAAGCUGAGGAUCCAUGUUAGUGUUAGGGUAUGACGACUUCAAUUCCCUAUUAUUUCCUAUGGCGGAAAUGUUCAAAAUCAGCAAAACUAAAAAAAAAUCCAUUAAAAAUCAACCCAGUGUCCCACGGCCUUGAAGUUUGGGUUGUAGGUGGCACCCAUGAGGACAUACCCACCAUCCAAAUUUGGUGCCCCUGGGACCUUGUUAAUUGGGCCAAAUCGUAUCAAAGCAAAUACAAAUCGAAUCUGGGGUGAUUUGGGGGGUAGAUUUGGACACAAAACAAAUCAAGGGUUGUUUUGGGCACAAAUUGAAUCAAAAAAAUUGAUUUGUGCACAUCCCUAGUGGAAACACAUCCAGCCUCAUUAGUCCACCACGAUAGCAGCAUAUGGAACUCCAAGGCACUGACUCAGUUGCCAAGAGCUACACCCCACUGAAUCGAGUCUCAACCCCCAUCCCCUCCAAGUCUUUCAAAACAUUACCAACUGAUUGAGAAUUCUGGAAGCCAACUUAUUUGCAUCACCACUGAACUAUGAAACUUCACCAAUUUUCUCCAGAUUCCCUUGGGAAAAAGCAGAAGCAAUCAAUGCCCUGACGGCCUCUCCUCCUCUUUAUGCAUUUCCACUAGUGGCUACUCCACAAAAGUUCUCAACACACUACUAGCGUCACUCAAGCCUUUCACUAAUCAAAUUUACCAGGCGACAUGGAGAGCAUUCUUGCAGUGGGCCAGACACUCUAAGACUCCAGUAAGUCUGUGAUAUAAAAGAGCUCUUCAAGAAGGCCUUGACAAGGGCUUAAAGACAAAUUUGCAACUGUAUUUUCCCCACUAAGUCAAAGUCUAACUAAUAUUAGUGUGCUUACCACCAUUACCACUAGGGAUUUGUACUUUGCUUGGAAGAUGAAACUACCAAAAUGGCUCUAAGUAUCACAGUGGAUUUCAUUUCAUGGUCCAAGCAACGAAUGGAUUGUAGAAGCCACAGCCUCAACAUUCCAAUCCUGCAGACCAUAAUAUGAAGCAGUGCUAAGGACAGAAACACUAUUACCAAACAUGUGGCAGACAACCUUCCAGAGGAAGAUAAAGUGAAUCUGGUCUGAGGAGACAGGAGCUACAUAAAAGACUGAAAGACAUUUUUGCUCCUCCAGGACUUUAUCUUUCAACCUCAGUAAGUCUUCUGAAAAGAUAUGCAUUGAAAUGGGCAAAAAGUAAACAUUCUUGUAUCACACUGCUCAGAAAUUAUUCAGACAGUGGUAUCAUCAAUCAAGGGAAUUAGAAAAAUAAGCCAUCUAUGUGUCUUACUGCAUCCAUCUAUUUCUAAUUUAUACUGUACUGCAUUCAAGGAACUCUUCCCAUUUCAGACCUAAGCUAAAGGAAAGAUAUCCUCAUACUACACACACGAGAUUUCAUUUCUAUUGGACAGAAAACAUUAUCUUACCCUCUUUUACACCAAUAAUUGAUUCUGUAUCUGGCAAGUGCAAGGAUUCCACACCUAGGCUAGGUGGUGAGCUCAUGGACACCAGAUUCUUGCUGUGCACUUCAGAUUCUUCCAACAGACUACUACCCAUAAGCGAUUCUGUUGCCAAAUAAACAAAUAAAUAAAUGCUAUGAGUUGAGCAG